rnacentral:rRNA from 1 species
AGAGUUUGAUCCUGGCUCAGGACGAACGCUGGCGGCGUGCUUAACACAUGCAAGUCGAACGAUGAAGCCCUUCGGGGUGGAUUAGUGGCGAACGGGUGAGUAACACGUGGGCAAUCUGCCCUUCACUCUGGGACAAGCCCUGGAAACGGGGUCUAAUACCGGAUAACACUCGCCGAGGCAUCUCGGUGGGUUGAAAGCUCCGGCGGUGAAGGAUGAGCCCGCGGCCUAUCAGCUUGUUGGUGAGGUAGAAGCUCACCAAGGCGACGACGGGUAGCCGGCCUGAGAGGGCGACCGGCCACACUGGGACUGAGACACGGCCCAGACUCCUACGGGAGGCAGCAGUGGGGAAUAUUGCACAAUGGGCGAAAGCCUGAUGCAGCGACGCCGCGUGAGGGAUGACGGCCUUCGGGUUGUAAACCUCUUUCAGCAGGGAAGAAGCGAAAGUGACGGACCUGCA